GGGGAUUUGGCUCAGUGGUAGAGCACUUGCCUAGCAUGCGCAAGGCCCUGGGUUCGGUCCCCAGCUCCG
rfam:Rattus norvegicus chromosome 19, whole genome shotgun sequence.